GCACCCGUAGCUCAGUUGGAUAGAGCAACGGACUUCUAAUCCGUAGGUCACAGGUUCAAAUCCUGUCGGGUGUACCA
rnacentral:tRNA from 1 species